GGAGUCCAGUCACUCGUGAAGAGCUCGGAGUAGAGCCGCUGCCCCUUCGCGUUGAGAGGAGCAAAGUGAGGUGGUUCGGGCAUCUGGUAAGGAUACCCCCUAGGCACCUCCCUAGGGAGGUGUUCCAAGCACGUCAAUCUGGGAGUAGACCC